rnacentral:rRNA from 1 species
UACGGGAGGCAGCAGUGGGGAAUAUUGCACAAUGGGCGCAAGCCUGAUGCAGCCAUGCCGCGUGUAUGAAGAAGGCCUUCGGGUUGUAAAGUACUUUCAGUCGUGAGGAAGGUGUUAAGGUUAAUAACCUUAGCAAUUGACGUUAGCGACAGAAGAAGCACCGGCUAACUCCGUGCCAGCAGCCGCGGUAAUACGGAGGGUGCGAGCGUUAAUCGGAAUUACUGGGCGUAAAGGGCACGCAGGCGGUUAAUUAAGUUGGAUGUGAAAUCCCCGGGCUUAACCUGGGAAUGGCAUUCAAGACUGGUUAGCUAGAGUCUUGUAGAGGGGGUAGAAUUCCAUGUGUAGCGGUGAAAUGCGUAGAGAUGUGGAGGAAUACCGGUGGGCGAAGGCGGCCCCUGGGACAAAGGACUGACGCUCAUGUGCGAAAGCGUGGGGAGCAAAC